AACGAUGUGGGAAGGCCCAGACAGCCAGGAUGUUGGCUUAGAAGCAGCCAUCAUUUAAAGAAAGCGUAAUAGCUCACUGGUCGAGUCGGCCUGCGCGGAAGAUGUAACGGGGCUAAACCAUGCACCGAAGCUGCGGCAGCGACGCUGAUGCGUUGUUGGGUAGGGGAGCGUUCUGUAAGCCUGUGAAGGUGUACUGUGAGGUAUGCUGGAGGUAUCAGAAGUGCGAAUGCUGACAUAAGUAACGAUAAAGCGGGUGAAAAGCCCGCUCGCCGGAAGACCAAGGGUUCCUGUCC
rnacentral:rRNA from 1 species